UAGGGAAUCUUCCACAAUGGGCGAAAGCCUGAUGGAGCAACGCCGCGUGUGUGGUGAAGGGUUUCGGCUCGUAAAACACUGUUGUAAGAGAAGAAUGACAUUGAGAGUAACUGUUCAAUGUGUGACGGUAUCUUACCAGAAAGGAACGGCUAAAUACGGGCCAG
rnacentral:rRNA from 1 species